rnacentral:tmRNA from 2 species
GGCCUUUCAUUUCCACGCGACGCACCCUAUAUUCGCUUCGUCGGCUUGACCGACUAUGGCGAUAAAUGGGCGAUGAAAUAAGCCGUUCGGACCCGGGGGCGGUACCCGGCGCCUCCACCAAAAGCCGCUGUUUAAGACGGAGCGGUUUUUGCUGGGGGCGAAAUAGGAUCGACGAAGGUGUAAAGAUCGUACUUUUGCCCGGCAUUGUACCACCGUUAUCGGGCUAAACUUAUAGUUGCCAACGACAACUAUGCGGAAGCACGUCUCGCUGCUUAAUGCAGUGCGAUAGCUUCAAAUCAAGCCCUAGGGGUUCGCACUUCUAGGCGGGGUUCGGAGGUACCUGGCAACAGAAACCUCCACU